rnacentral:rRNA from 1 species
CUACGGAGGGUGCAAGCGUUAUUCGGAAUCACUGGGCGUAAAGGACGCGUAGGCGGGUUGGCAAGUCAGAUGUGAAAUCCUACAGCUUAACUGUAGAACUGCAUUUGAAACUGCUAACCUAGAGUAUGGGAGGGGGAGAUGGAAUUAGUGGUGUAGGGGUAAAAUCCGUAGAUAUCACUAGGAAUACCGAAAGCGAAGGCGAUCUCCUGGAACAUAACUGACGCUAAGGCGUGAAAGCGUGGGGAGCAAACAGAAUUAGAAACCCUUGUAGUCC